rnacentral:tRNA from 1 species
GCGGGCGUGGCGGAAUGGCAGACGCGCUGGUCUUAGGAACCAGUGGGCGACCGUGCAGGUUCAAGUCCUGUCGCCCGCACCA